AGCCUAAACCAUCUGAAUUCCUCAGAUGGCAUGGUUCGAAAACGGUUCAACGUAGAGAGCUCCUAGUCAGAGCACGUUGAACCGUCAUGUCGAGAAAUCGGCAUGGGCCCGCAAGGGUC
rnacentral:sRNA from 1 species